rnacentral:rRNA from 1 species
AGCGAACGCUGGCGGCAGGCCUAACACAUGCAAGUCGAACGGAUCCUUCGGGAUUAGUGGCGGACGGGUGAGUAACACGUGGGAACGUGCCCUUUGGUUCGGAACAACUCAGGGAAACUUGAGCUAAUACCGGAUGUGCCCUUCGGGGGAAAGAUUUGAUCUCCAUUGGAGCGGCCCGCGUCUGAUUAGCUAGUUGGUGAGGUAAAGGCUCACCAAGGCUACGAUCAGUAGCUGGUCUGAGAGGAUGAUCAGCCACAUUGGGACUGUGACACGGGCAGACCUCCGGCGCGAGGCGGAAGUUGGGAAUAUUGCUUACGGGGCGAAAGGCUGGCGCAGCCAUGCCACGUGAAUGAGGAAGGUCUUAGCAUUGUAAGAUUCUUUCACCGGGGACGAUACUGGCGGUACCCAGAGAGGAAGCCCCGGCCAACUUCGUGCCAGCAGCCGUGGUAA